AUCCCCAACUCCCAAAAUCCCUGCAUCCCCCAAACCCCUUUUCCUGCUUUUUCCUGGAAAAGCCACCAAAAUUCCCUCCAAAUCCCAAACCCUUCCUGUUUGAUCCCCAAAUCCCCUCCUUUUCCCAGAAAUCCCAAACAUUUCAGCCCAAAUUUCAGCACUUUCCCAUCAAAAAUUCCUGAAUUUUCCCUUUUUUUCCAGCUUCCUACGGCACGAACACGAGCAGCUGGCAAGGUGGGUGUGAGGGGCUCGGGAUCCUUGGGAAUUUUGGAAUUCCAAUUCCCUCUUUCCCCUCUUUUCCUGCCGUUUCCCCCACAUUUUUUCCUCUUUUUUCCCCCAUUUUCCCCUCAUUUUUCCCUCCCUUUUCCCUCUUUAUUCCAAAUUUUUUCUCUUUUUCCCUACUUGCUCCCAUUUUCCUUAUUUUUUCUCCUUUUUCUCAUUUUCUCUUUUCCCCCAUUUUUUUCCAACUUUUUUCCUCCUUUUUCCUCAUUUUCCCAGUUUUUCCCUCCUUUUUCCCCUGUUUUUCCUCUUUUCCCCUCCUUCCUCCCAUUUCCCUUCCCUUUCCUCAUUUUCCUUCCUUUUCUUCCCUUUUCCCCCAUUUUUCCUCCCUUUUCCCAUUUUUUCCUUCCUCCCUUCUUUUUUCCUUCAUUUUCCCAUUUUUUCUCUCUCUUUUCCCAUUUUUUCCUCCCUCUUUUCCCCAUUUUUCCCCAUUCCACCCUUUUCCCCUUUUUCUUUCAUUUUUUCCCUUUCCCCCUUUCCUUUUCCCCCAUUUUCCCUCCUUUUCUUCCCUUUUCCCAUUUUUUCCUUCUCCCAUUCUUUUUUCCUUCCUUUUUUCCCAUUUUUUUCCUUUUCCCCUCUCUUUUCUCAAUUUUUUCCUCCCUUUUUCCCAUUUCUUCCCUUUUCCCUCCCUUUUCCCAAUUUCUCCCUCCCUUUUUUCCCUUUUUUUUUCAUUUUCCCCUCUCUUUUCCCAAUUUUUUCCCUUUUCCCAUUUUUUUCCUUUUUUCCCAUUUUUUCCCUUUUUUCCUCCCUUUUUCCCAUUUUUUCCUUUCUCCCUUCCUUUUUCCCUUCCUUUUUCCCAUUUUUUUCCUUUUCCCUUCCCUUUUCCCAAUUUUUUCUCCUUUUUCCUCAAUUUCCUCUCCUUUUCCCCAAUUUUUCUUUCCUUUUCCUUCCUUCCUUCCCAUUUUUUUCCCCUCCCUUUAUUUUUCAAGGUUUUUCC
rnacentral:lncRNA from 1 species